GUGCCAGCAGCCGCGGUAAUACAGAGGGUGCAAGCGUUGUUCGGAAUCAUUGGGCGUAAAGCGCGAGUAGGCGGUCUCUUAAGUCUGAUGUGAAAGCCCGGGGCUUAACCCCGGAAGUGCAUUGGAUACUGGGAGACUAGAGGGUGUAAGAGGAGAGUGGAAUUCAUGGUGUAGGGGUGAAAUCCGUAGAUAUCAUGAGGAACAUCAGUGGCGAAGGCGGCUCUCUGGUACACUUCUGACGCUCAGACGCGAAAGCAUGGGGAGCAAACAGGAUUAGAAACCCCCGUAGUCC
rnacentral:rRNA from 1 species